AGGUCGGUGGUCCCUGGGUAAGAAGUGACUCUGAUAUCACUUCCUUUAGGGGCUGAGGUCUGGAGUGAAAAUAAAAGAAGCCACGGGGAAGGAGGAGAUCAAUUUCCAGCCUGGGGAAUCUUUUCCAGUCAUAUUCAUGGGGCUGCCUCAGGUAAAGCACUCCACCUCAUUGGUCUGUAAUAGCUUACUGACCUGCACUGUCCUUGUAAUAGUCCAUGAUGUCUUUCAGGGUCACGAGGAAGAUCUCCUCCCUGGCCCUCUGAAGCUGGCUCUCCUUCUCCCAGUCCUCCAUUCCUUCUACCUGGCUCCACGGCCCCACAGGCUCCGCCUUCCUGCUGUUGCUGUCGUAGUGGAAGAAGGCCUGGUCAUUGAGAAACGCGGUGGCUUGAAACCUGGGGAUGCCUUUGCUGGGCCUGGACAAGCCGGUGUAGAGGAAGAUCAGCGAAUAAGGCCCUGCGGAAGAGGAGAAGAUUCUGAGGGGUGGGGUUCAUGCCCAGGAGGCCCACUGGGGAGCGGCAGAACCCCGGAGGGAGGCCCGGCCAUGGAGCUUUCUCCUCCUCUGCUUUUACUGCCGCCUCACACUGUGGGAGGUUCACUCAUGUGAAGGGGCGCCAUUUCUCCUGGGGACGCCAUGUCAGAAACUCUUCUGUGUUGUCUACACUCUAGUUCGCAUAUAAAAUUGUGUGUGUGUGUGUGUGA